rnacentral:rRNA from 2 species
ACAUGCAAGUCGAGCGCCCCGCAAGGGGAGCGGCAGACGGGUGAGUAACGCGUGGGAAUCUACCCAUCUCUACGGGAUAACGCAUGGAAACGUGUGCUAAUACCGUAUACGUCCUUCGGGAGAAAGAUUUAUCGGAGAUGGAUGAGCCCGCGUUGGAUUAGCUAGUUGGUGGGGUAAAGGCCUACCAAGGCGACGAUCCAUAGCUGGUCUGAGAGGAUGAUCAGCCACACUGGGACUGAGACACGGCCCAGACUCCUACGGGAGGCAGCAGUGGGGAAUAUUGGACAAUGGGCGCAAGCCUGAUCCAGCCAUGCCGCGUGAGUGAUGAAGGCCCUAGGGUUGUAAAGCUCUUUCACCGGUGAAGAUAAUGACGGUAACCGGAGAAGAAGCCCCGGCUAACUUCGUGCCAGCCGCCGCGGUAA